rnacentral:rRNA from 1 species
GACGAACGCUGGCGGCGUGCUUAACACAUGCAAGUCGAGGGGGCGGGGCAACCCGUCACCGGCGAACGGGUGCGUAACACGUGAGCGACCUGCCCAACUGCGGGGGAUAGCCGGCCCAACGGCCGGGUAAUACCGCAUACGACGUUCGGGGGCAUACCCUGGGCGUGAAACCGAUUGAGGGCGGUUGGAGGGGCUCGCGGCCUAUCAGCUAGUUGGCGAGGUAACGGCUCACCAAGGCGACGACGGGUAGCUGGCUGAGAGGAUGGCCAGCCACAUUGGGACUGAGAGACGGCCCAGACUCCUACGGGAGGCAGCAGGUGGGAAUCUUGCGCAAUGGCCGAAAGGCUGACGCAGCGACGCCGCGU